CCUACGGGUGACUGCAGUGGGGGAUAUUGCACAAUGGGGGGAACCCUGAUGCAGCGACGCCGCGUGGGUGAAGGAGUGCUUCGGCAUGUAAAGCUCUAUCGGCAGGGACGAAGCAAGACGGUACCUGACUAAGAAGCCCCGGCUAACUACGUGCCAGCAGCCGCGGUAAUACGUAGGGGGCGAGCGUUAUCCGGAAUCACUGGGUGUAAAGGGAGCGUAGACGGCUAUGCAAGCCUGGAGUGAAAGGCCGGGGCCCAACCCCGGGACUGCUCUGGGAACUGCACGGCUGGAGUGCAGGAGGGGUAAGCGGAAUUCCUGGUGUAGCGGUGAAAUGCGUAGAUAUCAGGAGGAACACCAGCGGCGAAGGCGGCCUACUGGACCGCGACUGACGUUGAGGCUCGAAAGCGUGGGGAGCAAACAGGAUUAGAUACCCCAGUAGUC
rnacentral:rRNA from 1 species